rnacentral:snoRNA from 2 species
AAGACUGUACUCGAACAGGAUCAUUUCUAUAGUACAUUCUUUCUUUUUGUCUUUUCAAAAAGAGAUCAACUACAAACUUUGAUGAUUUGGAAUCGCCCUUGAGCUGGAAUUGGGAGGAGAGUAGCAUGAUGGCUUUCGCCGUCGUUGCUACAGCGAAGAACGUCGGCAGUGUCUAAUCCAAACUGCUUGAAGUUCAAGGGCAUUAUGAAAAGU